rnacentral:rRNA from 1 species
GGGUGAGUAACACGUGGAUAACCUACCUAUAAGACUGGGAUAACUUCGGGAAACCGGAGCUAAUACCGGAUAAUAUUUUGAACCGCAUGGUUCAAAAGUGAAAGACGGUCUUGCUGUCACUUAUAGAUGGAUCCGCGCUGCAUUAGCUAGUUGGUAAGGUAACGGCUCACCAAGGCAACGAUGCAUAGCCGACCUGAGAGGGUGAUCGGCCACACUGGAACUGAGACACGGUCCAG